rnacentral:misc_RNA from 1 species
AUGCUAUUACAUAACUGGGUUGUGUUUGUUGAAAUAUGUGUAAAGAUAGAUGGAUGUGGAAAAUGACAUUAAGUUGUAUGUUGAAUAAAACUGACAAUUACAUGCACAGUAUAUGUACAAUUAAUGAAAGAAUCAAAAUUUGCUAUUUUUGUCUAUGAAUCUCUAAUGGGUAAUUCUGCAAAUGAUUAUAUAAAUUAUUAUAUGUACAGUUUACAAUUUAAAAGAUGGUAAAAGAAAGACUGUCAGAUAUUAUAUAAUUUACAAUAUAAGCCAUAUGUAAAAUGUAGAUGUAAUACAUUUAUAUUCAUACAUUCCAAAAUUGAUAUACUCAGUCGCUGCCUAUCCACAUAAAAUUUCAACAGUCGACUUAUUUUUUGUAUUGACUGGAAAGAAACGAUUACAAGAGAAUUUUGAAAUAAUUUAUGGAUUUGAUCACCGUUACCUUAUCAGACCUUUACAACUUCAAAAUAUUAUCAUGUCAAUGGCGUAUUUGGCUUGCGUGAUGUACGACUUAAACGUAGAGUGAUCUGUGAUUAACAGACUAAUGAACAGUAACUGUUAUGGAUUAAAAUCCAGCAAAAAAACAUUAGUUUUUCAUGCUCCUGAGUUGUUGAGUAAUAGUGAGGUACCAAAAAGGUGAAAGAACAAUUAUGUUCAAACUUGUAUUUGAAAUCUUGCCUGUUUUUUAUUUUUUUUAUUUUUUUUUCAUACUGACUGUUUGUGGGUAACAGAGAUUAAAUAAGCCCCCCAGGAUAAAAAUAUUGUUGCCCACACCAUUUAUGGCAAUAUUCUGUUCUUCAAGGACUGCCAUGUACAUAAUACAUAUAUGUAUCAAAACUUUUGUUUUCUCUUAAUAUGUGCAUGUCUUAACCUAAGCAACUCAAGAUGCUAUUAAAUAUAAAGAUGAC